rnacentral:rRNA from 1 species
UACAGAGGGGGGCAAGCGUUGUUCGGAAUUACUGGGCGUAAAGGGCGCGUAGGCGGCCUUCUAAGUCGAACGUGAAAUCCCUGGGCUCAACCCAGGAACUGCGUCCGAUACUGGAAGGCUUGAAUCCGGGAGAGGGAUGCGGAAUUCCAGGUGUAGCGGUGAAAUGCGUAGAUAUCUGGAGGAACACCGGUGGCGAAGGCGGCAUCCUGGACCGGUAUUGACGCUGAGGAGCGAAAAGCUAGGGGAGCAAACGGG